GGAUUGAACGCUGGCGGCAGGCCUAACACAUGCAAGUCGAGCGGCAGCACGGGUACUUGUACCUGGUGGCGAGCGGCGGACGGGUGAGUAAUGCCUAGGAAUCUGCCUGGUAGUGGGGGAUAACGCUCGGAAACGGACGCUAAUACCGCAUACGUCCUACGGGAGAAAGCAGGGGACCUUCGGGCCUUGCGCUAUCAGAUGAGCCUAGGUCGGAUUAGCUAGUUGGUGAGGUAAUGGCUCACCAAGGCGACGAUCCGUAACUGGUCUGAGAGGAUGAUCAGUCACACUGGAACUGAGACACGGCCAGACUCCUACGGGAGGCAGCAGUAGGGGAAUACUUGGACGACAGGUCGGGAACGAAC
rnacentral:rRNA from 1 species